rnacentral:pre_miRNA from 1 species
ACUACCUCCAUCCCAGAAUGGCCGCAUUUUUGUACAGUUUAUGUAUUUAAAAAUUUUUAUGAUUAGUAUUUUUAAUGUUAUUAGAGGAUAAAACAUGAAUAGUACUUUAUAUGUGACUAAUAUUUUUUUUAAAAAAAUAUUAUAUUAAAAAAUAAGACGGACGGUCAAACAUUGGACACGGAAAUCCACAACUGCACAUAAA